rnacentral:rRNA from 1 species
UACGUAGGGGGCAAGCGUUGUCCGGAUUUAUUGGGCGUAAAGAGCGUGUAGGCGGCUUGGUAGGUCUUGCGUCAAAACCUGAGGCUCAACCUCAGUUCGCGUGGGAAACCACCUAGCUAGAGUCCGGAAGAGGAGAGUGGAAUUCCUGGUGUAGCGGUGAAAUGCGCAGAUAUCAGGAAGAACACCAAUGGCGAAGGCAGCUCUCUGGGACGGUACUGACGCUGAGACGCGAAAGCGUGGGGAGCGAACAGG